rnacentral:rRNA from 1 species
UAAUACGUAGGGGCCAAGCGUUAUCCGGAUUUACUGGGCGUAAAGCGCAUGUAGGCGGUCUGUCAAGUCAGACGUGAAAGCUCCCGGCUUAACUGGGGGAGGUCGUUUGAAACUGACAGACUAGAGGGUGGUAGAGGAGAGCGGAAUUCCAGGUGUAGCGGUGAAAUGCGUAGAUAUCUGGAGGAACACCAGUGGCGAAAGCGGCUCUCUGGCCCACUCCUGACGCUGAGAUGCGAAAGCCAGGGGAGAGAACGGGAUUAGAAACCCCGGUAUUCCUGGCCGUAAACGAUGUCAACUAGGCGUAGGAGGUUAUUGACCCCUUCUGUGCUGUAGCAAACGCGUUAAGUUGACCGCCUGGGGACUACGGCCGCAAGGCUAAAACUUAAAUGAAUUGACGG